GACAGUAAGGGACGUUUACACCACACACUGACACCAUGCUGGGGAUCCUCUGCACUCUCAUCACUGCUCUAACAUAUGUUGAUGCAGUGAAGGUGCUGACCCAGACACCUGCUGUCCACACAGUUUCUACAGGACAAGAGGUUGUUCUCAACUGCAACAUUCAGAGAGAUGAUGGAAAUUAUGUCUAUUGGUAUAAACAGGUUCCUGGUGAAGCUCCUCAGUAUGUCCUGAGAUUUUACCAUAGUCACAGUUCACCCAGCUUUGGAUCAGGAUUCUCUUCAGACCGAUUCAACUCUAAAUCCUCAUCAAACAUAGAUUACCAGUUCAUCAUUAAGCGGUCAGAGGCAGGAGACUCUGCUGUCUAUUACUGUGAGACGUGGGACGACUCUGCUAAGGAGCGCGUAUCACAGUGAUUUACACUGUGACAAAAACCUCCUCACUACUCCUCCUCCCCCAACUACUUCUGCUUUUUGAGUCUUUGACACAUGAAAUAUUGCUCUCUAAUAACCAACAUGAGCAGUAACAGUAGAAGAAUAAGUCCUUUUUUGUUUUCAGGUUUGUGUUGUGUUCUUUUCAU